rnacentral:rRNA from 1 species
GACGAACGCUGGCGGCGUGCCUAAUACAUGCAAGUCGAACGAGAGCGCCCGGUGCUUGCACUGGUCAAUCUAGUGGCGAACGGGUGAGUAACACGUGGGUAACCUGCCCAUCAGAGGGGGAUAACAUCCGGAAACGGAUGCUAAAACCGCAUAGGUCUUCGAACCGCAUGGUUUGAAGAGGAAAAGAGGCGCAAGCUUCUGCUGAUGGAUGGACCCGCGGUGCAUUAGCUAGUUGGUGAGGUAACGGCUCACCAAGGCCGUGAUGCAUAGCCGACCUGAGAGGGUGAUCGGCCACAUUGGGACUGAGACACGGCCAAAACUCCUACGGGAGGCAGCAGUAGGGAAUCUUCCGCAAUGGACGCAAGUCUGACGGAGCAACGCCGCGUGAGUGAAGAAGGUUUUCGGAUCGUAAAACUCUGUUGUUAGAGAAGAACAAGUGCUAGAGUAACUGUUAGCGCCUUGACGGUAUCUAACCAGAAAGCCACGGCUAACUACGUG